ensembl:lncRNA
CCUAUCUGAUUGUAAAUGUUAAAAAAAAAAAAACAAAAAAACUGCCUCAUUUUGAGAAAAAAAAAAAAAUUGCUCUUUGCUGCCAUUCAAUGAGACCUGGACAGGCUGGAGAGAUAAGCGGAGAGGAACCAGAGUUGCUAGAGAAUUACCAAGCAGCCGACCAUGGAAACUCUCCACAGAAAAUAAUACUUGAAACAGUGCACUUCCUCAGAGCAGUUUACCACCAGAGCCUUCUCUAACGGCUGGUGGGUCAUUGCCUGUUUACCUUGGAUCUGGUCCAUGCCUGUAUUCUGAGUUUCCUGAUGGAGCUGCUUUGGGCCUCCCAGUAGGAAGAAAAGUUCCUGCUCCCUGGACGCUGCCACUGAUGUUUGUUCACCUGACUCCCCACCUGUACCCACUGUAGCUAUAUGUUACCACAUUUCAUCAGGUUCUUUCUCCUGAAACACUGCCAAAUGCCACCUCACCUUUAUAGCCUGAAAGGAAAGUCAGUAAACUUGCACCAAACCUGAUCUCGGCUUCCUGAGCCAAACUUUUGUAACCUGCUUAGAGGUCCUGAGCUGUGGCAGGAGCAUUUCAGCCUGAAGGAAGGAGGUGUUGGACACUACUCCAACCCAGGAAUCCCCUGGAUUCCCCCACUGCUGCAGGCCAGGAGGUGGGCUGUGCCUCCAAGCAUUAAUAACCCAAAGAACAGUUUUUACUCCAUUGUCUCUCUAAAAAUUGGUAUAAAUGAAAGCUACUCAAAAUAUGGAGGAAAAAAAAAUAGUAGCAAAGCUUAACUUUGUAGAAGUAUCACUUGAGGAUAAAUGCACCAAUAUUUGUGGGAUUCUCAGCCUCUGGGUCCUGGAGGUUAUGGCAAUGACAGGCAGCUGUCAAUUCAAGCACAGGGAAAUAAAAUACCUGAAAAAUAUCAAAGUCAAUAGGUUACCUGCAGGUAAUUUGGAGAUGGGAGGUUUGUCAUGUGUUUUAGAUGUUGCCUGUCAAGUUUUUAUGAGGCUCUCAAGGCCUAGCUUACAACUUUGUGCUUGCACAACCCAGUUGUGGUGGCAAAGGGCAGCCAUGGGGCUGGCCCUGGGUGCAGGAGGUGUAGAGAUAACCCUGCUUGGCAGGAACUGAGCAAGCAAGGGCACCUCUACCCAUAGGAAUGAGGUUUUCAACUGCUGAGACUUUAUUACAGUGGAAACAUGCAUUUUUUUGUAGGCUACUUUGGUACUGUCUUAUAAGAAAGGCCAAAACUCCAAGAAAUUUAGUGUUGGAUGUCACUUGCUUGUUUCUCCUUAUUAAAAAUAAGCUCCCUUCUCUACAAGAAGGAAUGCUAAAGCAUUGUCUCUGUGCCUGGCUGCCCUGAGGUAACAGGAACAAGCAUGAGAUAGCAGAUAACAGAUGUCAAAAUACAACUCACUUGAAACCCUCAGAGAAAUGUUGGUCUGUCAUUAGAGUGAUGCUAGACUGUGGCCAGUGGGGACCUGAAUGUUAAUUUUCCCCUCCCAGUGGUCUGUAUUAUUUUAAAUUUCCUCUAGCAAGCAUUCCAUUAAUGUGAUUCCCUCACACUACAUUUAGCUGAGAAAGUUCUAUGUCCUUUAUUAAAAAAUAAUUUUUC